rnacentral:rRNA from 1 species
UACGUAGGGGGCAAGCGUUGUCCGGAUUUAUUGGGCGUAAAGAGCGUGUAGGCGGCCAUACAGGUCCGUUGUGAAAACUCGGGGCUCAACCUCGAGACGUCGAUGGAAACCGUAUGGCUAGAGUCCGGAAGAGGAGAGUGGAAUUCCCGGUGUAGCAGUGAAAUGCGUAGAGAUCGGGAGGAACAUCAGUUGCGAAGGCGGCUCUCUGGACCAGCACUGACACUGAGGCACGAAAGCGUGGGGAGCAAACAGG